rnacentral:lncRNA from 1 species
UUCUCCUUUGUAAUAUUUCUAGAAGAAAUAUUAAUUUGGUAGUGUCCGAGGACGUAAGCUAAAUUGGCCGAACCUCGUUAAAUCUCUGGUAUUUUAUUUCUUAUUUGUUUGCUUAUAUUUAAUAGCUUUAUGUUGGUUAUAUUUAUUUAGUUAUUAUUGCUAUAAAUAUCUAAGUGAGUUCUGUCUAGUUGUUGGGUUUUAAGCGGGACCAUUUGUGAUCCCUCCAAUUUAACUGGGAAUUUUCUUAGUAUAAUUGUUGGCAUAAUAAUUAUCUAAAUAUUUCUGAUAAUAUUGUUAUUAAUAUUAUCGUCGCUUCCGCAACA